UCCCCGGUGGACUAGUGGCUAGCAUGUGGUCCUCUCAUCGCCGCAGCCUGGGUUCGAUUCCCGGCCAGGGAU